UUUCUUCCUUCAAACUUCAACGAAAGAGGAAAAACUGAAGAACCAAAGAAGCGAUUCCAUGGGGUCAUGAAUGAGUUCUAUUGGACAACUCCAAAACUAAAGCUAGAUCAACCAAGUCAAGAUUCUUUCUUAUGUAUCUUUAGAUUCUUCACAUAAAUGUCAUCAUAAAUAAGGCGGAGAGGUUAAAGACGAUUUAAUGGCUUGGGGAAGCUCUCCACCACAUACACCACGACAUCAAGAUGUUUACCUAAAAGGAUAGCAGUUUAACAACUCUGAAAUCCAUGACCAGGUCGGAGGAUGCUAUCAUGAUACUCGACAUGGAUGAAGGAUGCUAUGAGAAUAUGAUGAUACCUGACAAGACCAUAGAAUACUAUAAUGAUGUGAUGAUACCAUACAAUAUUGGAGGAUGCUAUAAUGAUAUGAUGAUACCCGGUAAAGCUAGAGAAUACUAUGAUGAUAUGAUGAUACCCGAUGCAGUCGGGGGAUCUUGUGAUAUGAUAUUGAUAUCUGACAAGGAUGGAGGAUAUUAUAAUGAUAUGAUGAUACCUAACAAGACUGGAGAAUGAUUAUUGAUGUACCUACGUGUACAUUUACUGGUUCAAUUUUGGCUAGCCCUAUGUAUAGCAAUUUUAUGUUUAUCUACGGUCUUUUGUAGUUGGCUGUAAUAUUAAUAAUAUAGAUGUCGCUUAUAGUCUUCUAAUGAUUUAAGGUAUAAA